rnacentral:rRNA from 1 species
GACGAACGCUGGCGGCGUGCUUAACACAUGCAAGUCGAACGGAAAGGCCCUGCUUUUGUGGGGUGCUCGAGUGGCGAACGGGUGAGUAACACGUGAGUAACCUGCCCUUGACUUUGGGAUAACUUCAGGAAACUGGGGCUAAUACCGGAUAGGAGCUCCUGCUGCAUGGUGGGGGUUGGAAAGUUUCGGCGGUUGGGGAUGGACUCGCGGCUUAUCAGCUUGUUGGUGGGGUAGUGGCUUACCAAGGCUUUGACGGGUAGCCGGCCUGAGCGGGUGACCGGCCACAUUGGGACUGAGAUACGGCCCAGACUCCUACGGGAGGCAGCAGUGGGGAAUAUUGCACAAUGGGCGGAAGCCUGAUGAAGCAGCGCCGCGUGCGGGAUGACGGCCUUCGGGUUGUAAACCGCUUUCGCCUGUGACGAAGCGUGAGUGACGGUAAUGGGUAAAGAAGCACCGGCUAACUACGUG